UUGAACUCAGGCAACGUGAUGCCCCCAGUUUUCUCUUGUGACAUAACAAAAUCUUAUGACAUGGCAUAUGCUUUCAGCUACAGAGACCAACUUCCUAAACCUCUGCUCUAAAUUCUGUAGCUACUAAUUACUCAACUUCAGUAGCCCUUUGUGCCUUUUCCCCCAAGGUCCAAACUGGAUGUUUCCAAUCCUGAAAAAGUAAUCCUGGAACAGCUGGCCCUAUACUGAAAACAAACUAUACUGACCUAGGGUGUGGUUAUCCCAAAAGAGAGAAACUACCAAGCAGACACUGGAUAUUCACUCUAGAGCUGAAAAAGGAGAGGGUAUGUGCAGUAACUACUUCAUGAAUGGAUGGAGCUGGAAGUGAAUGAAUGAAUGAAGUGAAAAACAG